CAAAGUGUCGUUGAUGGCAACUACAAACCGAGAACGUUUUGGAAAAAGUGUUAAAAACAAAGAACGUUCUUCGUCCCAGUUUUGAUUUCUUGAUACUGGUUGUUCAAAUCACAUGACUGACCACAAAGAUUGGUUUGUAAGCAUUGAUGAGAAGGUAAAAAGAGAUCAGAUUUGCAGAUAAUAGCAAAGUAACUGCAGAAGGAGUAGGAAACGUGUUGAUUCAAAAGAGAAAUGGCAAGCGAUAUUUCAUAUGUGAUGUGUUGUAUAUGCCAAGAUUGAAGAACAAUCUGCUAAGUCUUGUACAACUUCUUGAAAAGGAAUAUUCAAUGAAGAUGAAGUAUGGUGAAAUAAAGAUGUUUGAUUGUGCAAAUAGGUUUGUAUUGAAGGCACCAUUGUCCAGAAAUAGAACCUUCAAAACAACACUAUCAACCAGAUCUUCGAGAAUGAUGGAGACUGAAGGAUUGGAUGAGAUUUUGAAUCCAAGAGAAGGUGAUGUUGGUACCCCAGUUGUUCAAUCUCGUACGACUUAUAGAAAUAUAACUCAAAGGAAAACAGUCAAACCAUAUAGCAAGAGCAGAAGUUGCUAUAAGAGAUGUUGAGCAAGGGAACAAAGAUGCUAAUGUUCUAGUCACUCUUGCUGUUGUGCCAAGUAGCAGGAGAAGGGUCCCUGCAAUUUCUACUCGCAGAAAGAAGGAAGUGAAUAGGCUAGAUGAUGAUAGUGAUGAUGGUAAGAGUGAGGUCCAUGGAAAGCCAGUGGAUGCAUCUAAGACUUAUGCUGCAGCUCCUAGUAGUAAGGCAAUAGUUGUUGGUCGUUCGGUUUGCAACAACACUGAUUUGCAGGAGCUGGAUGGAUUGUCGAAAGAGGACAUGAAGUUGGUGAUAAAAAUGAAAUCUGAAGCAUUGAAGACUGCAAUUGGUCAAGGCGGCAAGGGGACAAAAGUUGAUGUGUUGUUGACCAUGAGUGCCUUAACCGAAGAAGACGUAAUUGCGGUAAAAAGUGCAGCUUGUGAUAGAUUGCUGAAUCAGAGAGUGGAGAUAAAGAUGAAAUAUAAGAAAAUCAAUGACUAUUUGAACAGAUCAUGAAAGCGCAUGAAACUGUGUUAUCGGUGUGGUGAAGUAGGACAUUUUGCUCGAGAAUGCGUAAGACAUCCAAGUGUUCAUGGAAGGAGCAAGCAUAUAAAAACAAGGUUUCACUUCUUAAGAGAUCAAGUGACGAAAGGAAGGAUGAAACUAGAACACUACAGUACCAAUGACCAAAAGGCAGACAUCCUAACUAAAAGCUUGAAGAGGGUGAAGUUCAAAUAGAUAAGGAACAAUCUUGUAUUAAUAUCAAUUGAAUCACUUUGAAUUAGGGGGCAUGUUAGUUAUAAUUAAAGUGAUUUGUAGUUAGUUAGGAAGGUUAGAAAAAUAGUUAGAAGUUAGUUAAGGUUGUUUUGACAGUUAGUACUCAAAACUGCUAUAAAGUGAUGUAAUAAGGAGAACAUUCUCCAGACUGUUGAUCAAUCUCCGUUUUCUGUUUUACUCUUUUCUUUUCAAUUUCAAUUCCUCUCAAUUAUACAACCUGUUCUAACACUAGUUGUUGAAAAAUGAAAGUGAAAUUGCGGUAUAUUGGAUGAAAUACUGAUUUUCAUUCAGGAAAACUUAUACAAUUUUAAUUUGAAACCAUGUGGUUGUAACUCUUUCCUCGAUAUCAUGAAGUAGGUAGGCCACGACUGUGAUUUGAAACCAUGUUUCUACUAGUUUAAGGGAAAAAAAUGUAAAUUUAUGGUUCUGUUGCAAUUAAAGUCUAUGACUGUGUUUCUAAUUGGAAAGUUGGUGGACCAGGCACAGGCUAGAAGGGAAAAGAUUAGUGAAAGGAUGAAAAUUCUUCAGGAUUAAGUUCCUGGUUGAAAUAAGGUUAUUGGGAAAGCAUUGGUCCUUGAUUAGAUAACCUGAAUUGAAGCAUUGGUCAUUGAUUAUAUCCAAUCACUUCAGCGCCAAGUGGAGUUUUUUGUCGAUGAAACUUGAAGCAGUUAAUUCAAAACUGAACACUAGCAUGGAAGCCUUUCCUCCAAAAGAUGCUAGAAGGUCUAUGACUGAAGUUCUUAGCAGCUGCUCUAUGAAUUCCUCUUCUCCAUCAUAGCAGAGAACAAAGAAAUCCAGAAAAGAAGAAAGAAGUGAAAGUCUGACUGACCUAUAGGCAAAUGGUGGGAUUGGUUUGAGCUGUGAGAAUGAGAUGCAGUAGCAGUAGCAGUAGCAGUAGCAGUCAUUCGUUCUUUCCUCAGUCGCAGAUCAUCAAGAAGCUUCUGUGCAAAAUCUGAUCUCUUAGCCAUAUUUUGGGUGUGGCUGUGACAUGCAGCACCUCGAGCUCCUCCUCUAAGAAAAAGGAGAAAUAAUAAUAAUAAUAAUAAUAAUGUUGAUGGCAAUGUGGUUCCACUUCCACGUAGAAGAGGAGAGGGGUUGAGAGGGUACAAUCAGAGUUGGGUGAGGGGUGAAGUCUGUCAUCUGUCAUCAAGCAAUACAUUGGUAUCUGAAUAUUAGACAUUGAGAGAGAAAAUUGACGUGGAAGGAAGUUAUUAUAGCCCACUCACUCACUCACUCAAUAGGUGCGUGUAUGUGGGUGUAACCAUAUGUAUGUAUAUAUAUUAAUCAUCUUUAUUCCAUUCCAAGCAAUUCUUGAAGGUGAUGUGAGAUCUAUCUCAACAUCCACCAUGGGGCUUCCUAUUUAAGUUUCUUAACCAACCUUGCACUUUUUCUUUCCCUUCCUGCACAUAUAUUCCCUCAACUGGAAUUUACAAGGCUCCCCUCUUACCUACUUUAAAAAUAGACAAAAAUACACUCUAUGGUGUCCUUUUUAUUUUUUUAUUUUUUUUUUUGUUCUUUAAUUUAAUUUCUAUGUUAUGGUCUAAGUGCGAAAAUGCCCAUUUAGAGUAGGUUUUGUAAACAAAAAGUAUUUUGGCCGUUACAAUGAUAAUAUGUGGUUACAAUGAUAAUAUGUGGAUAAUGGUAAUGAUUUCUA